GUGCCAGCCGCCGCGGUAAUACGGAGGGUGCAAGCGUUAAUCGGAAUAACUGGGCGUAAAGCGCACGCAGGCGGUCGGAUAAGUCAGAUGUGAAAGCCCCGGGCUCAACCUGGGAACUGCAUUUGAAACUGUUCGACUAGAGUCUUGUAGAGGGGGGUAGAAUUCCAGGUGUAGCGGUGAAAUGCGUAGAGAUCUGGAGGAAUACCGGUGGCGAAGGCGGCCCCCUGGACAAAGACUGACGCUCAGGUGCGAAAGCGUGGGGAGCAAACAGGAUUAGAUACCCUGGUAGUCCACGCUGUAAACGAUGUCAACUUGGAGUCUGUGCCAUUGAGCGUGGGCUCCGAAGCUAACGCGAUAAGUUGACCGCCUGGGGAGUACGGCCGCAAGGUUAAAACUUAAAUGAAUUGACGG
rnacentral:rRNA from 1 species